GGACAACCUCCGGUACAUCGACGAGCACAACGCCGCCGCCGACGCCGGGGUCCACUCCUUCCGCCUCGGCCUCAACCGCUUCGCCGACCUCACCAACGAGGAGUACCGGGACACCUACCUCGGCCUCAGGAACAAGCCGCGGAGGGAGAGGAAGGUCAGCGACAGGUACCUCGCCGCCGACAACGAGGCGCUGCCGGAGUCCGUUGACUGGAGGACCAAGGGGGCCGUGGCUGAGAUCAA
rnacentral:misc_RNA from 1 species